GUGACAGCCGCCGCGGUAAUACGUAGGUGGCAAGCGUUGUCCGGAUUUAUUGGGUUUAAAGGGUGCGUAGGCGGUAAUUUAAGUCAGUGGUGAAAUACGUCAGCUUAACUGGCGAGGUGCCAUUGAUACUGGGUUACUUGAGUACUGAUGAGGUAGGCGGAAUGGACGGUGUAGCGGUGAAAUGCUUAGAUAUCGUCCAGAACACCGAUAGCGAAGGCAGCUUACUAAGGAGUAACUGACGCUGAGGCACGAAAGUGUGGGGAUCAAACAGGAUUAGAUACCCUAGUAGUCC
rnacentral:rRNA from 1 species